GAUGAACGCUGGCGGCGUGCCUAAUACAUGCAAGUCGAGCGAAUGGAUUAAGAGCUUGCUCUUAUGAAGUUAGCGGCGGACGGGUGAGUAACACGUGGGUAACCUGCCCAUAAGACUGGGAUAACCCCGGGAAACCGGGGCUAAUACCGGAUAACAUUUUGAACCGCAUGGUUCGAAAUUGAAAGGCGGCUUCGGCUGUCACUUAUGGAUGGACCCGCGUCGCAUUAGCUAGUUGGUGAGGUAACGGCUCACCAAGGCAACGAUGCGUAGCCGACCUGAGAGGGUGAUCGGCCACACUGGGACUGAGACACGGCCCAGACUCCUACGGGAGGCAGCAGUAGGAAAUCUUCCGCAAUGGACGAAAGUCUGACGGAGCAACGCCGCGUGAGUGAUGAAGGCUUUCGGGUCAUAAAACUCUGUUGUUAGGGAAGAACAAGUGCUAGUUGAAUAAGCUGGCACCUUGACGGUACCUAACCAGAAAGCCACGGCUAACUACGUGCCAGCCGCCGCGGUAA
rnacentral:rRNA from 1 species